CCUACGGGUGGCAGCAGUGGGGAAUAUUGGGCAAUGGGCGCAAGCCUGACCCAGCAACGCCGCGUGAGGGAAGAAGGCCCUCGGGUUGUAAACCUCUUUUAUCAGGGACGCAACAAAUGACGGUACCUGAUGAAUAAGCCACGGCUAACUACGGGCCAGCCGCCGCGGUAAUACGUAGGUGGCAAGCGUUAUCCGGAUUUAAGGGGGGUAAAGGGCGUGUAGGCGGGAGAGCAAGUCAGGCGUGAAAGUCCAGGGCUCAACCCUGGAACUGCGUUUGAAACUGUACUUCUUGAGUGAUGGAGAGGCAGGCGGAAUUCAGUGUGUAGCGGUGAAAUGCGUAGAUAUACGGAGGAACACCAGUGGCGAAGGCGGCCUGCUGGACAGUAACUGACGCUGAUGCGCGAAAGCGUGGGGAGCAAACAGGAUUAGAUACCCCUGUAGUC
rnacentral:rRNA from 1 species